rnacentral:piRNA from 1 species
AGUGGUUGGCUGCAGUUGUGUAGU